GUAUAUAUAAAUUCCAUUACUGGGGCCUCAGGACAUGUAACGAGGAGUGAGUGUGAGACUGUGAGAAGGGGAAGAUAUGAUUGUAUUGACAUCGUUGAAAUCGUUGGUUCCACCAAUUCACUAUGGUUGGAGUCGAUGCGGCUUCUUCUGUUCUUCCUCUACAAUUCUUCGCAACUUUUCAUUGCCUCUACCUCUCUCUCCUCCUCCUCCUAUUGUAAAAGAACAAGUAUUGUGCUGUAAAACCAGAUACAGAUACGGUAAUUGUUCACUCUCUUCCUCCAACUUCUCUCUUCUCAAUCAGAAACCCAAUGCCGUUGAAGGACAGGCUCUAGGAUUAACCGAAGAAGACGACGAUGAAUUUCAACUAUUGACGGCCCUUAGAAGCCGUUACAAUGAUAUAGUUAUCGUGGACACCCCCAAAUCAAGGAUGCUGCUUCUCGACUCUACUCUUAACGUUCACAGCAUUUUUAACAAGGGACAGAAAUGGACUGGUUCGUAUUGGGAUGAGUUUGCUAGCUUGCCAGCUAUUAUUCCGAAGGGACCCAUUGCAAUCCUCGGCUUGGGUGGUGGAACAGCUGCUCAUUUGAUGCUUGAAUUAUGGCCUUCAUUGCAACUUGACGGCUGGGAGAUUGAUGAAAUUUUGAUUGAUAAAGCAAGAGACUAUCUCGGGCUGUCUGAUCUUGAGAAGCAUACUCAAGCGGGUGGCAUUCUUCGUGUUCAUGUUGGUGAUGCACUUUCUCCUUCAGUUAAUGUUCCUGGAGGAUAUGCUGGCAUUGUCAUCGACUUGUUCUCUGGUGGAAGGGUUUUACCGCAAUUGCAAGAGGUUGCAACUUGGUUGGAACUGAAUGAUAAGUUGAUGCCAAAUGGCCGUCUCAUGGUAAAUUGUGGUGCUGCCAAUGAUGGAGCAUCCAGUGGUUCUGAUACGGUAACUCAUCCUAAAAUUUCAUCCAUUGAUGACACUUGGGUGAAAAAUUCUACCAUCAAGGCGUUAUGUGAAGUAUUUCCUGGAAAUUUAAGCUGGAAGAAAAUGCCAAAGAAUGCGGGUGAAAAUUAUCUCGCACUGACGGGACCUUUGCCAGAUUUGACCACGUGGUCUGAUGUUCUUCCAGAUCAACUGAACGUGGCUGUCAAGCAAUGGAGGCCUUGUUGCCCUUCAUAAAUUUUUCACUAGAGUUGCAUUUUAAAGCUGCAAUCUCAUGCCCUUUGAUCAUGCGAUGGGGGGACCAGCAUGCUAGACCAUCUCAUAGCAAGUGACUGCAAAGAUAAAGCUGCAUUUCCGAGCUGAUGUCAUCCUUAACAACGCAUGGACAGAGGAAGCUGAUGCAUUCCUUUGUCACAUGCUGGUUGUGUUGCACAAGUGGUGGGUUUUAUCCAAAGGUAAAUUACAGAAAAAGUUUUAAAGUGUCAUUUUUUUCCUUCUUUCUUUUUUCGCUUCCUAUUUUAUUUUAUUUAUUUUUUAUUUUUUAAUUUCCAAAUCUUUGUAUCCUCUCUAAAAUUUCAGGAAAACAGAGUAAGUAUUAGAAUGGGAUAGCGUUGCCCAUUUUGUGUC